UACGGGGGUGCGAGCGUUAAUCGGAAUUACUGGGCGUAAAGAGCUCGUAGGCGGUGUGUCGCGUCGGCCGUGAAAACCUGCAGCUUAACUGUGGGCGUGCGGUCGAUACGGGCAUCACUGGAGUUCGGCAGGGGAGACUGGAAUUCCUGGUGUAGCGGUGAAAUGCGCAGGUAUCAGGAGGAACACCGGUGGCGAAGGCGGGGUCUCUGGGCCGAUCUGGACGCUGAGGAGCAAAGCGUGGGGAGCG
rnacentral:rRNA from 1 species